rnacentral:rRNA from 1 species
AGCAGCCGCGGUAAUUCCAGCUCCAAUAGCGUACAUUAAAGUUGUUGCAGUUAAAAAGCUCGUAGUUGAAUUUCGGGGUUAGUAGGUUGGUCAUGCCUCUGGUAUGUACUGGUCUCACUGAUUCCUCCUUCCUGAUGAACCGUAAUGCCAUUAAUUUGGUGUUGCGGGGAAUUUGGACUGUUACUUUGAAAAAAUUAGAGUGUUUAAAGUAAGCUAACGCUUGAAUACAUUAGCAUGGAAUAAUGAAAUAGGACGCUCGAUCCUAUUUUGUUGGUUUCUAGGAUUGACGUAAUGAUUAAUAGGGAUAGUUGGGGGCAUUAGUAUUCAAUUGUCAGAGGUGAAAUUCUUGGAUUUAUUGAAGACUAACUACUGCGAAAGCAUUUGCCAAGGAUGUUUUCAUUAAUCAAGAACGAAAGUUAGGGGAUCGAAGACGAUCAGAUACCGUCGUAGUCUUAACCAUAAACUAUGCCGACUAGGGAUCGGAUGAUGUUAAUUUUUAAUGACUCAUUCGGCGCCUUAA